GACGAACGCUGGCGGCGUGCUUAACACAUGCAAGUCGAGCGGUAAGGCCCUUUCGGGGGUACACGAGCGGCGAACGGGUGAGUAACACGUGGGUGACCUGCCCUCAGCUCUGGGAUAAGCCUGGGAAACCGGGUCUAAUACUGGAUAUGACUCCAUGACGCAUGUUGUGGGGUGGAAAGCCUUGUGCGGCUGAGGAUGGGCCCGCGGCCUAUCAGCUUGUUGGUGGGGNGAUGGCCUACCAAGGCGGCGACGGGUAGCCGGCCUGAGAGGGCGACCGGCCACACUGGGACUGAGACACGGCCCAGACUCCUACGGGAGGCAGCAGUGGGGAAUCUUGCGCAAUGGGCGAAAGCCUGACGCAGCGACGCCGCGUGAGGGAUGACGGCCUGG
rnacentral:rRNA from 1 species